CCUGCUAAAGCUCCUGAAAGCACUGGAACAUAGCCCAAUACUAGAAUACAGACCACCCAGACACACCAACCUAAGUUUUGGAAUGAGGAAGCUCAGUACACCUCCUCAAGCAGUGUUAUUAUGGCUCACAGACAGAAGGCUUGGAGCACAUGGAGUCCGCAGAUGACACCCCGAAUGGGCAGCAGGUUUCACUAAGGGUACAGUUCUCAGCCUUGAGGUGACAGGUGCCGGUUUUGUUAACAUGCUUGAACUAGGCCUGUCCCUCAGGAAGGAAUUUAAAUGAAACGUUCUCAGAAACUGAUGUGUAAAAUCAGAAUGUCAGUAGACAGAUGUACAAAGAAAAAUAAAGUACAGGAAACAGAAUCCUCUGUGCUGCAAUCAGAACGUGGUUUCUUUGUUGGUUCACUCUGAAGGGACGAAACAAACGAGGAGAAGGUGGGUUUUUGAAGCUAACAUUAGAAUCAACCAUUUGAGUUAUGUGAUUUCAAUACUGAACAAGAUUAGCCUACAUCAGUUGGAGAAAUCCAUUCUUUCUCUAUGCACACAACUGCCACAUGGCAAGAAAAGUUAGUUUUAUUGUUGUCUGUUUCAUUGGGCUGUAUUUUCUGUAUUUUGUUUUCCUUUAUGCACUUGGAAAAGACCACCCUAAUUUAUAAAACAAUUUAAACUUUUUUAUUUUAAAAACAUGUGGAAGAUCUUCAAAAAGUUCAUGGAAAACUGAUAUUAUGUAAAAACUGAAUGGAUUUCAAAAAAUUUGCACUAAAAUAAGCUUGUAUUAACUUGUUAUAACAUGUCUGGACAGAUGUCAGUUGGAAAAGAAACCUUAUCAGAGCAACAUUAAUUUUGGUAAUUUUGAGGAAAGAACAUCAAAUUUGUGGUGAAUCCUCAGUGGAAGAAUGGUGAAAAUCACUGAAGCUUUAAGAAAAUUUUAUGAGGACUAUGACCCAAAGUAAUAAGCAGUUUACCAAUGGAUGACUUGUUUUAGAGUGGGAUGGAAUGGUGUUGAAGAUGAAGUCUGCAGCAGUAGACCUUUCACAUCAAUUUGUGGGGGAAAAAUGAACCUUGUUCAUGUCCUAAUCAAAGAGCCCUGGCAAUUAUAGUAGAAACGGUGGCGGAUGCCAUAGAUGUGUGAACUGGUUCAACCUAGAGAAUUCUGAUGGAAAAAUUAAAGUUGAGCAAACUUUUUGCUCCCUGGGUGCCACAACUUUCUAUCAAGAUCCGUGACACACAAGGGCAGAGCUUUCAAUGGAAAUUUCAAGCAAAUGGGAUCAAGAUCCAACUUAUUGGGAGAUGAAAUAUGACUUCUCCAGUACAUGCUUAAGACAAAGCACAACCACAACAAGGGCUAUCAAGAAACUGAAGAGGUCCAGUCAAGCAAAAGUGGACUUUUCAAGAAGCAAGGUCAUGGGAGCAGGCUUAUUUAUUUAUUUAUUUUUAAUACUCAAGGAAUUUUGCUUGUUGACCUUCUGAGGAGCUGAAGGACAGCAUCUGCCUACCAAGAGAGGGUUUUGAGAGUUAGUUAAACUUUAGCACAACAAUGCCUGGGCAGGCCUCGCCAGAGCAUCCUUCACCAUGGCAAUGCUCUGGCUCAUCCUCUCACCACGCAAGCGCAAUUUUGUGACAGUUUCAGUAGGGAAUCAUUAAACUUCCACCUUACUGCCUUGAUUUGGCUCCUUCUGAUUUAUUUGUUUCCCAUUAUUAAAAAAAACAAAGGCAUUC